CCUACGGGAGGCAGCAGUGGGGAAUUUUGCGCAAUGGGGGCAACCCUGACGCAGCAACGCCGCGUGAGUGAUGAAGGCCUUCGGGUCGUAAAGCUCUGUCAGAGGGGAAGAAAUGCAGGUGGUGAACAACCAUUCUGUUUGACGGUACCCUCAAAGGAAGCACCGGCUAACUCCGUGCCAGCAGCCGCGGUAAUACGGAGGGUGCGAGCGUUGUUCGGAAUUAUUGGGCGUAAAGCGCGUGUAGGCGGUUUGUUAAGUCUGAUGUAAAAGCCCCGGGCUCAACCGGGGAAGUGCAUUGGAUACUGGCAGACUGGAGUACGGGAGAGGAGAGUGAAAUUCCCAGUGUAGGAGUGAAAUGCGUAGAUAUCGGGAGGAACACCAGUGGCGAAGGCGGCUUUCUAGACCACUCCUGACGCUGAGGCGCGAAAGCGUGGGGAGCGAACGGGAUUAGAUACCCCUGUAGU
rnacentral:rRNA from 1 species